AAACAAGAGCAGCCUCAGUGAAGAAGCAGCAUCUGACUUCUGCUGGGCCUUGCAACCCCAACAGUUCACUUACUGCAGAGAGUGGAAUCACUGAGGUGCCCAAGCAGACUGUGGCCAAUGCUGUCUCAUCAAAGAGAAGGGACUCCCAUUGUGUCAGGAGCAUCGUGCUGGG